rnacentral:rRNA from 1 species
GACGAACGCUGGCGGCGUGCUUAACACAUGCAAGUCGAGCGGUAAGGCCCUUUCGGGGGUACACGAGCGGCGAACGGGUGAGUAACACGUGGGUGACCUGCCCUCAGCUCUGGGAUAAGCCUGGGAAACCGGGUCUAAUACCGGAUAUGACUCCAUGACGCAUGUUGUGGGGUGGAAAGCCUUGUGCGGCUGAGGAUGGGCCCGCGGCCUAUCAGCUUGUUGGUGGGGUGANGGCCUACCAAGGCGACGACGGGUAGCCGGCCUGAGAGGGCGACCGGCCACACUGGGACUGAGACACGGCCCAGACUCCUACGGGAGGCAGCAGUGGGGAAUUGUUCGCAAUGGGCGCAAGCCUGACGACGCAACGCCGCGUGGAGGAUGAAGGUCUUCGGAUUGUAAACUCCUGUUCGCCCGGGAGAAUGGCUCCGACCUAACACGUCGGAGUGUGACGGUACCGGGU